CGAAGGCGAAGGCGUCUAAGGCGGCCUUCUUUGCGCACCUCAACACCUACCCUUCGCGAGCGGUUGGCUAUAAAUCGUAGGGGACCGUCUUACCUCAGCAAAGCGUGCGUCUCCUGGAACCAGAGCUUCGAGUGAGGACCGUUCUGGGGAAAUUGGGACGGUUUUACUUCUCCCUCAACAUUUGUCAGAGACCACGAAAGAGGCCUCUCUGCAGGCGCCUUUAGUUUCCUCAGAUUAUAACCUUCCCAACUGCCCGCAGCGUCCAGUCUCCCCUCUCCAGCAAAAUGGUGCUGGCUAACUCAGAUGUCUGCGAGAUUAGUUGUGUUGUUAACUUGGCUUUCUGGUAAAUUCGUGGAUAGUAGACUCGAAAAGAUUUUUUUCUAAGCAUUUAGGUAUCAAUAUAUUCAUUAAAAAACCCGACUUUGCUGCCAAUUCAUCAGUUCUUAGCUGUCCUUGAGAGACUGACAUGCCACAAUUCACACUUCCGUAUUUCUUAUUAAUCAUAAGUGAAAAUAUCUUUUUAAAGUCAGGGUACACUGAUUUAUUAUGUUAGUAACUGAUUAGCAUUUCUGUUAAAGUUUUGGAAGAAUAUUUAAAUAGCUUCUUCAGCAUCUAACUUUUUUUUAAUAAGAGAAAGUGAGCUCUACUUCUAGAAUUUGAUCUGGAUUAGAACUCCUGUCUCUUUUGUCUAUCUUUGUGUCCUUAUACAGAGAAAAUGGCAGAAUUACUAGUGUCUUCUAAAUACCUAGCCAUUAAUCCCACUAGUCCAUCCCGUUUUCAUUCAAGAAAUAUAAAAAAUGCCGAAUAAAGACUAUUAGUUGCCCAGUUCCACAGAUAAAUUGGAAUGAAUCCAGGUACGGUGGAACAAAUCCAAAUACAAUAACUGGAAUGGAAGUUACUUACUU
rnacentral:lncRNA from 1 species